AGGGCCAGGGCAGAAACAGGUUCUGCUUGGCUACAUGACCUCCGCCUGCUCUUACUCUGAGCCUGGGCGUUGGUAGUGGGGAGAGCGGGUCUCCUGAAAGGUCCGCGCUGCAAGAGCAGCGUCUUUUGUGCCUUAACUUGCACCCGUCUCGGGAGUCAAAGGGAGGACGCCAGGGGAUCUCAGAAGCCGGAGAACGCUGGGAUCCAUCUUUUCCUGCCCCUGGAAAUCAGAGCUCCUGGUUCUCAUGACUUCAGUCUUGGACUCAACUAUGCUACAAGCUUUUCUGGUUCUCCAGCUUGAAGAUGGCAGUUUCUGAAACUUCUCCACCUCAUGACCCUGGGAAACAAUGAGACUGUGAAAAUGAGGCAAAGCAGAAAAACGUGGUUUGCGUUCUAGACACCUAGUAAGGAAGACGAACUACACGUUCCAGAGGUCAGUUACUGGAACAAUUUCCAGAAGUCAGAUUGAGAGACAGCUUCACUAGGUCAAGAAGGCAAAGGAUUCCCUUAUAUAUGCAGUGUUUUUUUUUUAAUAUUGUAAAGUAAACAGCAA